rnacentral:tRNA from 1 species
GUAUUGAUAGUUUAUCUAAAAUGUUAAAUUGUGAAUUUAAAGUUGUUUAUUACUCAAUACA